rnacentral:rRNA from 1 species
AUACGAAGGGGGCUAGCGUUACUCGGAAUUACUGGGCGUAAAGGGCGCGUAGGCGGCUCUGUUAGUCAGGCGUGAAAUUCCCGGGCUCAACCUGGGGACUGCGCUUGAUACUGCGGAGCUUGAGGAUGGAAGAGGCUCGUGGAAUUCCCAGUGUAGAGGUGAAAUUCGUAGAUAUUGGGAAGAACACCGGUGGCGAAGGCGGCGAGCUGGUCCAUUACUGACGCUGAGGCGCGACAGCGUGGGGAGCAAACAGGAUUAGAUACCCUGGUAGUCCACGCCGUAAACGAUGUGCGCUGGAUGUUGGGUGACCUAGUCACUCAGUGUCGUAGCUAACGCGGUAAGCGCACCGCCCGGGGAGUACGGCCGCAAGGUUGAA